AGUGAACGCUGGCGGCGUGCCUAAUACAUGCAAGUCGAGCGAACAGACGAUGAGCUCUCUCUCCUGACGUUAGCGGCGGACGGGUGAGUAACGCGUGCAUCACCUUCCUCUUUGACUUGGAUGAUUUCGUGGAACCGCUGACACUACCACCUCAUAUAUCCAACGGCUUGGUGCAGUAGUGCUUGGGACCUUUCGUGUCUCUUUUAGCUGGAUCCGCGUCGCAUUAGCUAGUUGGUAAGGUAACGGCCUACCAAGGCUACGAUGCGUAGCCGACCUGAGAGGGUGAUCGGCCACACUGGAACUGAGACACGGUCCAGACUCCUACGGGAGGCAGCAGUAGGGAAUCUUGCGCAAUGGGCGAAAGCCUGACCGAGCAAUGCCGCGUGAGUGAUGAAGGUCUUCGGGUCGUAAAACUCUGUUGUUAGGAAAGAACAAAUGUGGAAGUAACUAUGCACGUCUUGACGGUACCUAAACAAAAAGCCACGGCUAACUACGUG
rnacentral:rRNA from 1 species